UUUGAUAUAUGGGUCAACCAAGGAACCUGUUCUCUCAGCAAUUGAGCGCUAUCGGCACUAAAUGCUCCUGCACAGUAGACAAUAAUGUGCAGUCCUGUUGGAGUGUGACGUGAUGUGGCAGCUAAGGAAAUCUUGAGUGCAGCACAUGGUGCAUCAUGAUUCUAUCCAAUUUUUAAAUAAACUAUGUUAAGAUCCCUAUGUCUGGUUUUUGAGAAUUUAUUUUAGAUGAAACCAUUGCAUUUUACGUGGAACUGCAGAACCUUGAUCUUGUAGCUGACUUGAUGUAUGUUUUAGAGUUCUUGCCAAAUAUUAAUAUUUUGGUUUAGCACAAUUUCAUG
rnacentral:lncRNA from 1 species